UACAGAGGUCCCGAGCGUUGUUCGGAUUCACUGGGCGUAAAGGGUGCGUAGGUGGCAUGGUAAGUUUGAUGUGAAAGCUCAGGGCUCAACCCUGAAAUGGCAUUGAAUACUACUGUGCUGGAGGUUUGGAGGGGGUACUGGAAUUCUUGGUGUAGCAGUGAAAUGCGUAGAUAUCAAGAGGAACACCAGUGGCGAAGGCGAGUCCCUGGACAACACCUGACACUGAGGCACGAAAGCUAGGGGAGCAAACAGG
rnacentral:rRNA from 1 species